rnacentral:rRNA from 1 species
GACGAACCGUGCGAACGUUGUUCGGAUUCACUGGGCUUAAAGGGCGCGUAGGCGGCUUGCCAAGUCAGGGGUGAAAUCUUUCGGCUCAACCGGAAAAGUGCUUCUGAUACUGGCGGGCUGGAGGGGGGUAGGGGCAGAUGGAACUUCCGGUGGAGCGGUGAAAUGCGUAGAUAUCGGAAGGAACGCCGGUGGCGAAAGCGAUCUGCUGGACCUCUUCUGACGCUGAGGAGCGAAAGCCAGGGGAGCAAACGGG